rnacentral:rRNA from 1 species
ACGGGGCGCAGCAGGCGCGAAACCUUCACAAUGCUCGAAAGAGUGAUGAGGGUACUCCGAGUGCCUAUGCUUUGCAUAGGCUUUUCUCUAGCGUAAAUAGUUGAAGGAAUAAGGGCUGGGCAAGACCGGUGCCAGCCGCCGCGGUAACACCGGCAGCCCAAGUGGUGACCGUUUUUAUUGGGCCUAAAGCGUUCGUAGCCGGACGGGCAAGUCUUUGGGUAAAUCCUACGUCUCAAGCGUGGGAAUUCUAAAGAUACUACCUGUCUUGAGGCCGGUAGAGGCUGGAGGUACUUCUGGGGUU